rnacentral:rRNA from 1 species
GGGGAAUAUUGCGCAAUGGGGGCAACCCUGACGCAGCAACGCCGCGUGCGGGACGAAGGCAUUCGUGUCGUAAACCGCUUUCAGCAGGGAAGACAUCGACGGUACCUGCAGAAGAAGCCCCGGCUAACUACGUGCCAGCAGCCGCGGUAACACGUAGGGGGCGAGCGUUAUCCGGAUUCAUUGGGCGUAAAGCGCGCGCAGGCGGCCGCCUAAGCGGGACCUCUAAUCCUGGGGCUCAACCUCAGGCCGGGUCCCGAACUGGGCGGCUCGCGUCAGGUAGGGGGAGGCGGAAUUCCCGGUGUAGCGGUGGAAUGCGCAGAUAUCGGGAAGAACACCGACGGCGAAGGCAGCCUCCUGGGCCUCGACGGACGCUGAGGCGCGAAAGCCGGGGGAGCGAAC